rnacentral:rRNA from 1 species
GUGCACCAGUCAGAAACUUCACACUGUGCGAAAGCACGAUGAGGGAAUCCCAAGUGCUUGCACGUAAGUGUAAGCUGUUUCUCUGUCUAAAACGCAGAGAGAGUAAGGGCUGGGUAAGACGGGUGCCAGCCGCCGCGGUAAUACCUGCAGCUCAAGUGGUGACCGUUAUUAUUGGGCCUAAAACGUCCGUAGCCGGUUUAAUAAAUGCCUGGGGUAAAUUGUGUAGCUUAACUAUACGAAUUCCGGGUAGACUGUUAAACUUGAGGCCGGGAGAAGUUAGAGGUACUCCUGGGGUAGAGGUGAAGUUCUGUAAUCCUAGGGGGACCACCAGUGGCGAAGGCGUCUAACUAGAACGGGUCUGACGGUGAGGGACGAAGCCCUGGGGCGCAAACGGGGAUUAGAUACCCCUGUAGU